UGCAGUCGAACGAACUCUGGUAUUGAUUGGUGCUUGCAUCAUGAUUUACAUUUGAGUGAGUGGCGAACUGGUGAGUAACACGUGGGAAACCUGCCCAGAAGCGGGGGAUAACACCUGGAAACAGAUGCUAAUACCGCAUAACAACUUGGACCGCAUGGUCCGAGUUUGAAAGAUGGCUUCGGCUAUCACUUUUGGAUGGUCCCGCGGCGUAUUAGCUAGAUGGUGGGGUAACGGCUCACCAUGGCAAUGAUACGUAGCCGACCUGAGAGGGUAAUCGGCCACAUUGGGACUGAGACACGGCCCAAACUCCUACGGGAGGCAGCAGUAGGGAAUCUUCCACAAUGGACGAAAGUCUGAUGGAGCAACGCCGCGUGAGUGAAGAAGGGUUUCGGCUCGUAAAACUCUGUUGUUAAAGAAGAACAUAUCUGAGAGUAACUGUUCAGGUAUUGACGGUAUUUAACCAGAAAGCCACGGCUAACUACGUGCCAGCAGCCGCGGUAAUACGUAGGUGGCAAGCGUUGUCCGGAUUUAUUGGGCGUAAAGCGAGCGCAGGCGGUUUUUUAAGUCUGAUGUGAAAGCCUUCGGCUCAACCGAAGAAGUGCAUCGGAAACUGGGAAACUUGAGUGCAGAAGAGGACAGUGGAACUCCAUGUGUAGCGGUGAAAUGCGUAGAUAUAUGGAAGAACACCAGUGGCGAAGGCGGCUGUCUGGUCUGUAACUGACGCUGAGGCUCGAAAGUAUGGGUAGCAAACAGGAUUAGAUACCCUGGUAGUCCAUACCGUAAACGAUGAAUGCUAAGUGUUGGAGGGUUUCCGCCCUUCAGUGCUGCAGCUA
rnacentral:rRNA from 1 species